AUUGAGUCAAUUAGCGAACUUUGACCUUGGCUAACCUUCUGGAUUUAAGGAGACACCAGAUACACUUAGACAUAGGCUAUUAAUCUUUUAGAGCUACUAUAUGCAAAGUGAUGAGAAAGUGAGCUCCAAAGGGGGUGUCAGUACACUCUACAAACAAUAACAGGUCUAUUCCCAAGUCCUUCAAAUUCCAUCUCUUUGAUCAGAGCACUUCAAACUAGAUUACCAUGUACAGUAAGAGCAGGAGAGGUACGCAAACUUUCUGGACUUCGGACAAACGUUUCAUGGUGCUGCUACUACUUCACUGCAUUGAGAGCUGGAAAAUAUGCUUUGUUCCAUGCAGUUAUAAACACACUUUAAUUCUGUGAAACGUAGCUACAUGUUAUAAAAUUAUUUCAUAUUGGAGAUACAGUAGACUCUCGCUAUUCCGGCUCUCUGAAGUACGGCCACCUCGAUAUACCGGCCAUUUGGUUUGGCACGGAAUGCUACCUCUAUGUUUACUGCACAAAACUCACCCUGAAGUACGGCCACUCGCUAUUCCGUUUACCGGCCAGUGCUGGCUAGGCUGUCCCAAAUAACGUUUUCAAUGUGAUUUUAUGUGUAUUACGGCCGGAUAUGAUGUUUUGGGUGUGGUUUAGUAAAUAAAAUUGGAUUACACUUAAAUAGAGAGCAGAAUGAUUCAUUAUCUUUCAUUAUCCUCGAGACAAGAACUGCAAAUCAGUGAUUAGAUUAGAGGUAAGGUCAUUUUUAAGCCGCGGCUAAUUAUCUGAAGUACGGCCACCUCGCUAUUCCGGCCAAGCUGCAUGGUCCCAAGGGUGGCCAGAUUAACGAGAGUCUACUGUAUAAGUACAUAAACUGACAAAUCGGUGUUUUUUCACACAAAUCAAGCUGAAUAAAAGAAAGCUCGGCACUAACAUAGCAACUGUAGCUAUCAGUAGUGCUGGGUGUACUGAUUGCUUUGAAUUUUUCUUUUAGGCCCCCUACGAGAAAAAUAAGCAGAUAUAGGGAUCAUUGUGUACUUUCUUGAGCGCAACUCGCCUCCACCUAGCAUCACGUGGGGCGUUGUCUAUCCCUUUCUUUCUUGUAUCUAUAUAUGCACAGACUCAAUAGGCGUUACUUUGCGCAUGUGCGAUAUAAUAGCAUCAGAACACCUGUACCAGCUAUAAUUUUAUAGCUCUAUAAGGCCACUGUUAGUUGCAUACUUGUUUCAGAUGAGAAUACUAGCUGGAACCCUAACAGUGGCCUAAUUAAGAAGAUCAGAACAGUUUCUUGUGUGGCUGCUGCACUAGUAGUGGUUGCAGGGGAGACUAAAUUGAUGAAACUCGGGGAAUUUACAAGGAACAAGGAUUUAAUGCAGGAAAGCCUCUGAAAUAUUAUCCACACUUCAAAGGUCUCAUCAAUUCAAAAGCGAGACGACCCAAGGACCUCCUCUGUCUGACACUAUUGAUUCGUAGUAUUCAUUAUCGGGCUCCUAGCCAUCGGAAUGUAUGAAACUCGGUGGCCAAAUAAAAGAAAGUGGACGCAAAAUGAGAAAAAAGGCAAAGAUCGUAUGGAAGAGAAUACAGUAGAACCUCGAUUAUCCGGACACCUUGGUUCCAGAAGCAGGCCGGAUAAGUGAAUAUGCCGGAUAAUCGAAUAGAUAAACCACGCCUUGAUCCACCCACUUUAUUGAUGAACAGCAGUGUCACAUGGUUGUCUGCGCAUGCGCAAAAGAAAAGCAGGCAUGUCUCCAUGGUAACAACUGCAACGCGCAUGCGCAUUUUAGGGACACGCCCAUUUUAUGAAUUAUGUAAUCUGAUAAAAUAAAAAAAAGUCAAGCCGGAUAAUCGAGGUUCCGGAUAAUCGAGGGCCGGAUAAUCGAGGUUCUACUGUAUGUGUGUGUGUGUACGAAGACUCACUCACUGCCCAUGAAUAAGAGUGCCAGUGAGGGGGAAAUCCCUCGACCCAUGGUCAUGACCCCGCCCCCUGUUCUCACUGGAUCAUUGCUCGGCAAGGUCCACUGCAAGCCUCCCUCAGUGAUCCCAUAUACCACAGACACAAAGAGGGCAAACAGAAACUGGUGAAGAAGAUGAGAACAAUCGAAUGCAUCGGCUCUGAUUGAAACCCAGUCCCCUGAGUUACCGCAACCUCUUAUUU